rnacentral:lncRNA from 1 species
AAGCAAGCAUAAUCAUGAUAAUUAUGGGAAUCCACCAAGAAAUUGGAAAGAAGAGCAGAGUUGCGAAGGAAAAAUAAGGAAAAUGGUUACCUAAAUUCUUGCUGUAAUAAUCCCAAGUACCUAGCUUGCAUGUGCUCAGCAUUUGAGCGAAAGGAGGAAGAAGACACCAAUCGCGAGUCUUCUUUUCUCCCGAUACUGGCAGAAAUCGGAGUCUUGGCCUACCAAAAUCAGCCUAGAAAAGCCCUAGAACUAGUUUAUAAAUAGUCGACUCCUUUUCCUUGGAUCUCCAUCACUAUCUUCGUGUGCAAUUGCUGCCGAUCAUCCGAGAUUUCCCUCCAAGUUUUCUCUAGUUCUUUCGGGAAAAGAUUGCCAAUUUCCUUCUUUUUGGUGUUACCGAACCGAGGUAAUCCCUUUCCCUUCUUUAUUCUUUCCUGCUAUCCUCCUCAUUGCCAUUGCUCGGAUUUGGUCUCCAAGCCAUCGGUAUGACUAAGAACAGGGCAUUUCGUGUUUGCCCUUGUGCUUCGUCGACUGACACUGACCACCGCUGUGUCAGGGUCAUUACCAUACAACCAUUGGGAGCCAUUGUAGGUGGCCAGCCUUGGUUUUCCGCCUCCAUGGUUAGGAGAAGAGUGAAGGGGUGGGCAUCCCCUAUUUUGGAAGAAGAGAAGAGAAGAAGAGAGGGUUUUCCUUCUCUCUCUUUC